UACGUAGGUGGCAAGCGUUUGUCCGGAUUUACUGGGCGUAAAGGGCGUGCAGGCGGUCUGUUAAGUCUAGGGUGAAAGCUCCCGGCUCAACUGGGAGAGGUCCUUGGAUACUGGCGGACUUGAGGGAGGCAGAGGAAAGUGGAAUUCCCGGUGUAGUGGUGAUAUGCGUAGAUAUCGGGAGGAACACCAAUGGCGAAGGCAGCUCGCUGGGACGGUACUGACGCUGAGGCGCGAAAGCGUGGGGGAGCAAACAGG
rnacentral:rRNA from 1 species